GGAAUUUUGGGCAAUGGGCGCAAGCCUGACCCAGCUACGCCGCGUGAGGGAUGAAGGCCUUCGGGUCGUAAACCUCUGUCGGGAGGGACGAACGGACUGCGGGUGAACAAUCCGCGGGAUUGACGGUACCUCCAAAGGACGCGCCGGCUAACUCCGUGCCAGCAGCCGCGGUAAUACGGAGGGCGCAAGCGUUGUUCGGAAUUACUGGGCGUAAAGCGCGUGUAGGCGGCCAGGCAAGGCGGGUGUGAAAUCCCGGGGCCCAACCCCGGAACUGCACUCGAAACUGCCUGGCUGGAGUCCCGGAGAGGAAGGCGGAAUUCCCGGUGUAGAGGUGAAAUUCGUAGAUAUCGGGAGGAACACCAGCGGCGAAGGCGGCCUUCUGGACGGUGACUGACGCUGAGACGCGAAAGCGUGGGGAGCAAAC
rnacentral:rRNA from 1 species